rnacentral:lncRNA from 1 species
UAUAUUAUUUUUUUAUAGAGAUAAUAAGACAAAAAUGAAUAGUAAUAUAAAAUGUUGACGUGGCUUAACCGUGACCACACAAACAGAAGGGCAUGGGAGGGAACAGAAACAAGGAGGGCAUACAAUCCUUGUCCAUAUGGAAGAGUAGUGUGUGCUCCAUAGAUCGGACUGCAAGGUUGCUGGAUGUGAGGAUGGAAUAUCAAAGAUUGCAUACAUAAAAAAAACAUCCCGUCGACUCCAAAUUCAAGUUCCUAGUGAAACUGUUCAAAAUAGAACUUGAGUUUAGUAUCAGAACAUUAGAAACAGCACCUUCGAUCAUGGAACUUAACUUUGCUAUAGAAGCUUCCAGUUAAGCUACACGAGCAUCCAUUGCAGAAAAUCGAAUGGCAGUGUUAUGGCUUGACAUAAAUGGAAGGGAAAUCAGGACCGUGGAUGAUCCCAAUGAUAAGAACUAAUACUAGACUGAUUCAAGCCCAACUCAUUACAAUUUAACCCCAAUUCAUUACAAAAGAAAUGCAAAUUACACUUUUAACUAGCAAAAUCAUAAAAAAUACUGAAAUUGUUGUUGUUCAUCUUCUCCGAUCUUACAUCCUCCAUUUCUGGAAAUCCUGCAACAAGGUUAAGGUUGAAUCAUAAAAAUUACACUUUUUUUGUUGAAUAGAGAGUCACAAAAUCAUAAAAACCAACUCCACAAAAGAAAUGCAAAUUACACUUCAACUCCAAUUCAUUACAAUUUAACCCAAAACAAUUAAUUUGUGACUAAGUCAUUCAUAAGAACACAACAUAUUAUACAUGUAUUAUAUGCAUAUAUACAUUUUUUUUAACAAACGAUAUUAUCUACACUAAGAGGGAUGGGUGGGCUUAGCCUCACAAUGAGCUAUCAAUAAUGUGGUUCACAUAUUUUUUUUUUUAUUAUAAAUAAAUAAAUGCUUCUUCCAUACUAAUUUCAAAAAUGGGGUAAUAUACGUGACUUUUUAAUCAUAAAUGUUUAAUACCCGUUUUAUACAAAAAUCAAUAUUAUAGGACUAAAAAAGUUCUUCAAAUCAAAACUCGUCUCUACCGCCUAGAAAACUCAUCACCUCUCCCCUCAGACUUGCGUGUGGCAAUAUAAUAUGAUACAGUUGUUGUUGGCAAAUAAUAUGAGGUGAUACCGUAAUCGUUGUCGGAAAAUAAUAUGAGGUGAUACCAUAGUCGUUGUUGGAAACAUAUUAAUUUGCCAUUUUCGUAUUUUAUGGCCGAACUUUUCAAAGUAAAAUUAUCGAACUAUACAUGUACGUAUUGUUCCCUUUAUAUUAAGGGUAAAUUACAUAAAACUACCUCAACUAUUGGGUCAGUCACAGUUUCAUACCUCAUCUUUAAAAAAUUUCAAUUUCAUACCUCAUCUAUGAAUUUUUAACAAUUUCAUACAUUCCGUCAGUUUUCUGUCAAUUUUUUCGUUAAAUAGUGACGUGGCUUAAAAAAUUAAUUAAAUAUUAAAAAACUAAAAAAAAAUCAUUUUUUUACACGGGGACCCACUCACAUACCCUUUCUUCCCCCUCCCUUUCCUCCCCUACUUCUCUCUCUCGCCGCGCCCAUAACCCCCUUUCUUCCCCAAACCCAAAAUCAACUAGAUACCAUCCUAAACCUAGAUCCCACUCCCCGCUGCCAUACCAUCCCAAACCUAGAUCCCAAUUCCCGCUGCGAUUCUCCGGCACAUCCUUCAGCGCACCCACUCCUCCUUCACCUCCCUCAGCGCACCCACUUCUCCCUUACCUCCCUCAACGCCCUUAUCCGCAGCCACUAUUCGCCACAUCCAACAAAUCCACCAAAACCCUUACCCCGGAAACCUU